CUCCCGGGCGCCGGGCUCCUGCCGGACUGGACGGACAGACCGACCGACGCGGGCCACCGGGCUCUCCUCGCCGCCGGCGCGGCGGGCGCGGGGCCGCGCGGGGACGCCUGAUCUCUGCAGCGCGGGCGAGUGGCCGCGCGGAGCGGAACCAGCCAAAGGCGCCCGGACGCCUGCAGGUGAGAGUGAUUUCCCAGCGAUUGCUUCGGCCGGUACAACCAGAGAACAGGAUUCUUUUCUUUUUGGCUGCUAAAUGCCUCUGUAUUCCACACUUUCCAGUGAGGGGAGAAGGCUGGAGCUUCUUGGAUGAUGAUGGAUAUUCCGCUGGGCAGGAUGAGGGCAGAGUGUGUGACAUCAACACCACAAGGUGCAUGGGGAGCUUGCUCUGGGAGAAGGUCAUCACCGGGGAAGGUUCCUGGUGAGAGGAUGCUCAAUACUUGGGUGUGGAUGGAAUUUAGAUUUUCACUUCUGUUUACAUUUGUUUCAUUUUAUUUGGAAUAGUCUCACACAGCAUGGCUGGAAAUAGAAUUUAGCAUGAUGGUGAAGAAUCCGCCCGCAGUGCAGGAGACCAGGGUUCGAUCCCUGGGUUGGGAAGAUCCCAUGGAGGAGAGUAUGGCAACCCACUCCAGUAUUCUUGCCUGGAGAAUUCCCUUGGAGCCUGGUGGGCUAAAGUCCAUGAGGUCACACAGAGUCGAACACGACUGAUGGACUAAACACAGCACAUCACCCUUUUAAAAAACAUAUAUGAUUUUUAUUUGAAAGUUAAUAGAAUGAAAUACAGCUUUUCCAGAUGAUUAUUCCAUAAAGACUUCAAUAUUAAUGCAGAAAAAUGCUCCCCUCUUCCUCGAUGAUAGGACUAAUGUAGAUUUUGGACAAGUGGGAAGGACAAAAGAGUCUAGGUUUUUUUGUUUGCUUGUCUGUUUACUUUUAUGGAAUUGAUUUAAAAGAGUGGUUCUGCCCAAUAAAGCAAGUAGAAGUGGCUUGUAUUUGUUAUGC
rnacentral:lncRNA from 1 species